GACGAACGCUGGCGGCGUGCUUAACACAUGCAAGUCGAACGGAAAGGCCCUGCUUUUGUGGGGUGCUCGAGUGGCGAACGGGUGAGUAACACGUGAGUAACCUGCCCUUGACUUUGGGAUAACUUCAGGAAACUGGGGCUAAUACCGGAUAGGAGCUCCUGCUGCAUGGUGGGGGUUGGAAAGUUUCGGCGGUUGGGGAUGGACUCGCGGCUUAUCAGCUUGUUGGUGGGGUAGUGGCUUACCAAGGCUUUGACGGGUAGCCGGCCUGAGAGGGUGACCGGCCACAUUGGGGCUGAGAUACGGCCCAGAAUCCUACGGGAGGCAGCAGUGGGGAAUAUUGAACAAUGGGCGGAAGCCUGAUGCAGCAACGCCGCGUGCGGGAUGACGGCCUUCGGGUUGUAAACCGCUUUCGCCUGUGACGAAGAGUGAGUGACGGUAAUGGGUAAAGAAGCACCGGCUAACUACGUG
rnacentral:rRNA from 1 species